GCGGAGGAAAAGAAACCAACAGGGAUUGCCCUAGUAACGGCGAGUGAAGCGGCAACAGCUCAAAUUUGAAAUCUGGCUUCGGCCCGAGUUGUAAUUUGCAGAGGAAGCUUUAGGCGCGGCACUUUCUGAGUCCCCUGGAACGGGGCGCCAUAGAGGGUGAGAGCCCCGUAUAGUUAGAUGCCUAGCCUGUGUAAAGCUCCUUCGACGAGUCGAGUAGUUUGGGAAUGCUGCUCAAAAUGGGAGGUAAAUUUCUUCUAAAGCUAAAUACCGGCCAGAGACCGAUAGCGCACAAGUAGAGUGAUCGAAAGAUGAAAAGCACUUUGAAAAGAGGGUUAAAUAGCACGUGAAAUUGUUGAAAGGGAAGCGCUUGUGACCAGACUUGCGCCGGGCAGAUCAUCCGGUGUUCUCACCGGUGCACUCUGCCCGGCUCAGGCCAGCAUCGGUUCUCGCGGGGGGAUAAAGGCCCUGGGAACGUAGCUCCUCCGGGAGUGUUAUAGCCCGGGGCGUAAUGCCCUCGCGGGGACCGAGGUUCGCGCAUCUGCAAGGAUGCUGGCGUAAUGGUCAUCAGCGACCCGUCUUGAAACACGGACCAAGGAGUCAAGGUUUUGCGCGAGUGUUUGGGUGUAAAACCCGCACGCGUAAUGAAAGUGAACGUAGGUGAGAGCUUCGGCGCAUCAUCGACCGAUCCUGAUGUUUUCGGAUGGAUUUGAGUAGGAGCGUUAAGCCUUGGACCCGAAAGAUGGUGAACUAUGCUUGGAUAGGGUGAAGCCAGAGGAAACUCUGGUGGAGGCUCGCAGCGGUUCUGACGUGCAAAUCGAUCGUCAAAUCUGAGCAUGGGGGCGAAAGACUAAUCGAACCAUCUAGUAGCU
rnacentral:rRNA from 1 species